AACGAACGCUGGCGGCAGGCUUAACACAUGCAAGUCGAGCGCCCCGCAAGGGGAGCGGCAGACGGGUGAGUAACGCGUGGGAACCUACCCAUCUCUACGGAAUAACGCAUGGAAACGUGUGCUAAUACCGUAUACGUCAUUCGGGAGAAAGAUUUAUCGGAGAUGGAUGAGCCCGCGUUGGAUUAGCUAGUUGGUGGGGUAAAGGCCUACCAAGGCGACGAUCCAUAGCUGGUCUGAGAGGAUGAUCAGCCACACUGGGACGGAGACACGGCCCAGACUCCUACGGGAGGCAGCAGUGGGGAAUAUUGGACAAGGGGCGCAAGCCUGAUCCAGCCAUGCCGCGUGAGUGAUGAAGGCCCUAGGGUUGUAAAGCUCUUUCACCGGUGAAGAUAAUGACGGUAACCGGAGAAGAAGCCCCGGCUAACUUCGUGCCAGCAGCCGCAGUAAUAC
rnacentral:rRNA from 1 species